UAUUGCAUUAUAUGAUAGUCUCACUGGUAACAACUGUGAGCAAGGUACCUUGCACAUCAACCAAGGUACAUCAAAGUGUGUACUAAUAUAUACAUACAUUCCUCCUCCUCUUAGUCCCUAGCUGCAAAAGGAAAGUAGUAACAAAGGCUUGAACAGGCCACUCGGGGCUGAGCCUUUGAUCCCUCUUUCAAUAACAGAAAGAGAUUUGCAAGAAUGGUCACUGCAAGAGGCCCCCUUCUCCUUCAGUCUCCUCAACUUGGAAUUGAAAGGAAGCACUGCAUAGCCAGAAGAAUGCAUCACAGCAAGAGAACAUUCAUGCUUCCAGGCUCAGUAUGGUAGGAGACUAAGUGGAAAGCAAGCUUCCCCCAAAUCACUUGUUCAUUCGUUCAGCAAAUAUUUGUUACCAUUAUUAUUUGCCCAGUGCGGGCAUAGACUCCGGGGAAAUACAGAUGAAUAAAUCUCCAUCUCUGCACUCCUGGAUUUCACAGUGUAAUAGGAGCAACAUGCAGGUAAAAAUGUAAUUGCAAAUCCAGGUGAUGCAUACUAUGAUAGAAAUACAACGUACAUGUCAGUGGGAGAGGGAGUGACAACAAGGUCAGAAUGGAGGAACUCCCCAGCUCUGCUUUAGGAGAUAAGUCACCCAGGAGGGAAUCAGAAGAAGGAAACCCAAGCAAGGAUUUGAAGAGAUUUUCUUAGUAGGUUAGGAAAGGGAAAUGUGAGGGUAUGCAUUCCUAGAAGAAGAAAUAAGGGCAGAGGAACUGAUACUAGAAACAAAACGGCACGCUCGUUUGGCUAAAUGGUGGGGCAGGGCCAGCUUAUAUGACACCUUAUAGACCACAUUAAUAAGUUUGGGUUUUCUCCGGUUGACCAAUGAUUCAUAAAUUUUACUGUGCCUACACUAGUAUGCUGAUUCCCAGGAACCAUUCCAUGAGAGUCUGAGGCCCAGAAAUCUGCCUUUGCAUAAGUAGCUAGGUGAUUUCUGAUAGCAAGUGGUAUAUAGACCACACUUUGAGAAAUACUGCUAUUGAUAAAACCAAUGAAAAUAACAGCACCUUCCCUCCAAAGCAGUUUAUAUUCAGUUCUAUUUCAUUUUUUUAGUGCCGGCCCAGUCUCAAUUGAGUGGCUUUAGAUUUUUUCCUUCCUGGGGAAGUCACUGCACUCCUUAAUUAAUGUUUAUGUUUUGAAGACUUGAUUGCCAGAACUAACUGAAAUUAGUCAGAUAUAUGAAUUUACAUUAAAAAGACGCUGGCUGGGCCGGGCUGGGUGGCUCACACCUGUAAUCCCAGCACUUUGGGAGGCUGAGGUGGGCAGAUCACAAGUUCAAGAGAUCAAGAACAUCCUGGCAAACGUGGUGAAACCCCAUCUCUACCAAAAAUACGAAAAUUAGCUGGGAGUUGUGGUGCGCGCCUGUAGUCCCAGCUACUUGGGAGGCUGAGACAGGAGAAUCGCUUGAACUCACGAGGUGCAGGUUGCAGUGAGCCGAGAUCAUGCCAUUGCACUCCAGCUCAGAGACAGAGUGAGACUCCAUCUCAAAAAAAAAAAAAAAAAAAAAAAAA
ensembl:lncRNA